rnacentral:misc_RNA from 1 species
GAUGAAGAACGUAGCGAAAUGCGAUAAGUAAUGUGAAUUGCAGAAUUCAGUGAAUCAUCGAGUCUUUGAACGCACAUUGCGCCCCCUGGUAUUCCGGGGGGCAUGCCUGUCCGAGCGUCAUUGCCGCCCUCAAGCACGGCUUGUGUGUUGGGCCCCCGCCCCCCGGCUUCGGGGGGCGGGCCCGAAAGGCAGCGGCGGCACCGCGUCCGGUCCUCGAGCGUAUGGGGCUUCGUCACCCGCUCUGUAGGCCCGGCCGGCGCCCGCCGGCGACCCCAAUCAAUCUUUCCAGGUUGACCUCGGAUCAGGUAGGGAUACCCGCUGAACUUAAGCAUACAAUAAGCGGAGGA